rnacentral:rRNA from 1 species
AGAACGAACGCUGGCGGCGUGGAUAAGACAUGCAAGUCGAACGCGACUUAUCUGGUUAGCAAUAACUAGGUAAGUUGAGUGGCGAAAGGGUGCGUAACACGUGGGAAUUUACCAAGAAGUGGGGAAUAGCUCGACGAAAGUCGAAUUAAUACCGCAUAUGAUCGCAAGAUCAAAGCCGGGGACCGCAAGGCCUGGCGCUUUUUGAGAAGCCCGCGGCCCAUCAGCUAGUUGGCGGGGUAAAGGCCCACCAAGGCUAUGACGGGUAGCUGGUCUGAGAGGACGACCAGCCACACUGGAACUGAGACACGGUCCAGACACCUACGGGUGGCAGCAGUCGAGAAUUUUUCACAAUGGACG